rnacentral:lncRNA from 1 species
UGAAAUGUCUCGCCUUCUAUACUAAUCAUUGAUAUAUGUUGAUAGUCCUAAGUAUAAAGCUAAGCUUUAUUACAACUGUCACAUAAACUUAACAUUAACCAAGAUAACUAAACAAAGACCAAUGAACCUUGAAAAGAGGUCCAAGUCAGAUGAACCAUGCCAGGCAGACCCGGUACAGCUAACAAUGCUUCUAUACAACAUAUAUAGUUGACACAUUACUUAUAGU